rnacentral:tRNA from 1 species
GCCGAUGUGGUGGAAUUGGUAGACACGCUAUCUUGAGGGGGUAGUGGCGUAAGCCGUGCCGGUUCAAAUCCGGCCAUCGGUACCA